rnacentral:SRP_RNA from 1 species
GCCGGGCAUGGUGGCGCGUGCCUGUAAUCCCAGCUACUUGGGAGGCUGAGGCAGGAGAAUUGCUUGAACCCGGGAGGCCGAGGUUGCAGUGAGCCGAGAUCGCGCCACUGCACUCCAGCCUGGGCAACUGAGCAGGAUUCCGUCUCGG